GCCAGCUGAAUUCAGGUUUCUACUGAGGCUCCGCUGAACUGCCUGAUGCUGUGCUGGAGGCCGGGGAGGGUAUGAAAUGAGUACUUUUGCUCGAACCCCUCUAUCCAGGAAUAGCCAAGAGAAUAGCGCAAAUCAUGUAAAAGCCUUGAAGAGUCACCUGUGUUUUUUAAAUCCUUAGUCGGCGCUGAUCCAAAGACGGCCCAAGACUGAUGGCAGUCCACAACCAUUUGCGUCUGGUCCAGAUGCGAGUUCCCAGACCUUCCGCCCUCCUGGAAUGGUGCCCACCAUUGCUGGCAUCAGUUAGCCAAUGUUCUGGAAAGGGGUGCCCAGCAAAGGAAUGAAGUGUGGCAGCUAUUGUCUGGAUGGAGCCCUGUUUUCUGGGCAGUAUACUUCUAGAU